rnacentral:rRNA from 1 species
CUAAUACCGGAUACGUUCAGCUGGCUGCAUGGGCAGCUGAGGAAAGGAGCAAUCCGCUAAAGGAUGGGUCCGCGUCCCAUUAGCUUGUUGGUAGGGUAACGGCCUACCAAGGCGACGAUGGGUAGCCGGCCUGAGAGGGCGACCGGCCACACUGGAACUGAGACACGGUCCAGACUCCUACGGGAGGCAGCAGUGGGGAAUCUUCCGCAAUGGGCGCAAGCCUGACGGAGCAACGCCGCGUGAGUGACGAAGGUCUUCGGAUUGUAAAACUCUGUCCAGAGGGAAGAAGGAAGUGACGGUACCUCUGGAGGAAGCCCCGGCUAACUACGUGCCAGCAGCCGCGGUAAAACGUAGGGGGCGAGCGUUGUCCGGAAUUACUGGGCGUAAAGGGCGUGUAGGCGGCUUGGUAAGUCAGUCGUGAAACCUACCGGCUCAACCGGUAGCUGGCGAUUGAAACUGCCGGGCUUGAGUGCAGUAGAGGGGAGUGGAAUUCCCAGUGUAGCGGUGAAAUGCGUAGAUAUUGGGAGGAACACCAGUGGCGAAAGCGGCUCCCUGGCCUGUAACUGACGCUGAGGCGCGAAAGCGUGGGUAGCAAACAGGAUUAGAUACCCUGGUAGUCCACGCCGUAAACGAUGGGUGCUAGGUGUUGGGGGUAUCGACCCCUCCAGUGCCGCAGUUAACGCAAUAAGCACCCCGCCUGGGGAGUACGGCCGCAAGGCUGAAACUCAAAGGAAUUGACGGGGGCCCGCACAAGCGGUGGAGUAUGUGGUUUAAUUCGACGCAACGCGAAGAACCUUACCAGGUCUUGACAUCCCCUGCCCGCUGUGGAAACACAGUUUUUCACCUUCGGGUGAACAGGGAGACAGA